ACACAGAGUUAACAAUAGCAAAAAAGAAAUCCUACGCCUUUCAUGGAAGACCAGUGAGACUUAGCACAUUAGGAAACAUAAUUGUGUAAUUUAUAUUAUUAAUGUAUUAAUGGAGAAAAAAAACUUCAAUAGAUGCCAAAGGAACACUUGAUAAAAUUUAACAUCUGUUCUUGAUUUAUGAAAAAAAAGUUUAAUGAAUAAGUAAUUGAUUUGAUGUAUCAGAAGUAUCACAAACAUCAGACUUAUUAUUGAGAGACCAGAGAUAUUCUGAAUUUAAUGAACUUCUAUACUGACAAAAUUAACAUUAAGUUUUUUAUGUCAGAUCCAGCCAAUGUAAAAAUACAAGAAAAAUUAUAUUUUAAUGAAGGAAACCAUAUUAUCUAUCUGAUAAUAUCACAUUAUAUAUAUAAAUAAGUAUAAAGAAAAUUAGUAAGUAGCAUUUUGGAACAAACAAAGGUCGGUAAAGGUAUAACCAGGAUCAAAAUUAAGAAAAAAAAAAAAAAGAGUAGCUUUACCCAAUAGGAAAACAUUUUAAAAACUUAAAGCACCAAAGGGUUUAAUAGCAGGAAACAAACAAACAAAAAAAACGAUUAUAAUGCUUAAGACCUAUGUGAGAAGGUUCUAGAACUGUACUAAAAGCAUGAAAAAAGACAAAACAAUUGGAGAUCACUGUAUAUAUAAAAAACCUGAAAGAUGAAGUCACUGAGGAAAGGGAUAAACGAAGUGAUCACCAUAUAAUUGAUUCUGGGAAAGUCAGUUGCUUACUCAUCAGGGAAAAAUGCAUCCGUGUGUUACACUGAACACAAUAACUAUUUUACCAUGAAUUAAAGGUCAAAUACUUGGAAUAAACUCCGUAAAUAAAACUGCUAAUGAAACGGGGAAGUCUUCUGUAAGAAAACCAGGAACGCUAAAGGAAAACAAAUCCUAAGAGGUCAAUAUGGUGAAACAAAUGUUGCCAUAGUGCCACAUAGAAACAGAUGGAUAAUGUCACUAACAUAGAACGCGAUCGUUUUUUCAUCUAUGAGGAAGGGACAGUCAGUCUAGGGGAAAAGUUGAUUCAAACAGGUGCAAAUCCAAACAGCUCAUAGGCACAGAAAGGUGUGUGCUUUAUUCAGUAAUGGUCGUGGUCCUUAAAAGUACAGAUGGUGGCACCAGACCACCUGGGUUGGCACCCAGUCUUGUCCCCCUCAUCGGCUGUGUGAUCUUUGACAAGGUACUUAACCUCUCCGUCUCCAUGUUCUCCGAGAUGACAUGAAGGCGAUUCUGCCUGCCUCGGAGGUCUGUGGUGAGGAUUUCAGCGGUUUGGUGAAUAUGUAGCGAGUACAGGAGCACACCGUACGUGCUUCCAAGUAUAAUCUAUCCUCUUCAUCGCCCUUGUUUCAGUAAUGUAAAUGAUCAAAUUAGUUUAGCAGUGGGAUUAACAAAUAGGGUAAAGAUUUUUCAUUUCCAGGGGUUAUUAAGAGUAGAAAAAGGACUCUCUCAAACGCAGUGGGACAGAACCAUCACUUGGUACAAGCCUGGUAGAAGGCACUUAGACAAAAUGGAUUAAAAUUUAAUAUACACAGUCUCUGAGCAUCUAUAUUCUAGGUAUUUAUACCCAUGGCCACACAGAUGCUAAAUGCCGGAAAGGGGAAUUGAAUCUAAAUCUAGCUUCACAGCCUUAGCACUGUCCACUGUUAAUAAACAUACGAAAGAAAAUGUUCAGGCUCAUUAGUUGUUAAAAAAAAGAAAAAAAACACCCACAUAUUAAAACAACCUGAGGACAUUUUAUUCCUCGGAAAUUGCUGUAUAUUAAAUAAAAAUUCCUGCAGUUGGCCAAGUUGCAAGGAAAUAGAGAUAGGCUUAUUCGCUGAGGCUAGGAGUGUAAAUUAAUACAGAAUCUGAGAAGGGCUAAUUGACAAUUCUUGGCCAAAACCACAAAAAAUAGGUAUGUGCUAUGACUCAGCGGUUCCACUUCUAGGAAUUUGUUUUUGGGAAUGCAUCAUGGAUGCACAAAGGUGGCCAAGUGUAAAAUCAUCACAGUGUUUACAGUGAAAGAUUGGAAACGGUCUGGGGCGCCUGGGUGGUUUGAUCGGUUAAGCGUCCGACUUCGGCUCAGGUCAUGAUCUCGCGGUCCGUGAGUUCGAGCCCCGCGUCAGGCUCUGUGCUGACAGCUCAGAGCCUGGAGCCUGUUUCAGAUUCUGUGUCUCCCUCUCUCUCUGCCCCUCCCCUGUUCAUGCUCUGUCUCUCUCUGUCUCAAAAAUAAAUAAACGUUAAAAAAAAAUUUAAAAAAGAGACAAGUGAUUUAAAAAUAUACAAAUUAAUAUAAGACAAAAAAAAUAGAUGUAAAUUUUUAAUAAGCAGUUUCUGUGUCCUUGUCCUUGUUUUUCAUUGCCUUCUGCCCAUUAUUUCAUAACAACCUCUGAGAUCUGGAUAAUUUUGCAUUCCCAUUUUACAGAUUAGGAAACUUGAAAACAGAGGAGUUUUGUAACUUGUCCAAAGUUAUUCAGCCAAUCUGAGGCAAGGUCAGAAUUUAAUCUCCAUACAUCUGCCUCUGAAGUUUUACAUUUUAUCCAAUACACUAAGAUCCCAUUUUCAUAAGAUGAGUAAAUACAACUGUCUAGUGAAAACUAGAGAUGUUAAAAAAGAAAUAAAUAUAAACGUGAUGUUUUCUUCUUUUAAACCAUUUUUAUAAAUUUUACACAAUUCUUAUAAUUAAUGUAUGUUACUUUUAUAAGAUAGCUUCUAUUUUAUUUUUUUAAAUGCUUAUUUAUUUAUUUUGAGAGAGAGAGAGAGAGAGGAGGAGGAGGAGGAGGAGGAGGGGCAGAGGGAGAGGGAGAGAGAGAAUCCCAAGCAGGCUCCACGCUGUUAUGCACAGAGCCCCACAUGGGGCUCAAUUCCACGAACCAUGAGAGCGUGACCUGAGUCGAAAUCCAGAGUGAGACGCUUAAUCGACCGAGCCACCCAGGCGCUCCUGUACCGUUCCUUUUCUUAAACCAACUGUUAGUUUUAUUCAUGCAUAUUGAUUACGACUAACUUUUCUAUUGAAUUCGUUGGUAACUGGUCACAUCAAGGAAGUUUAUAGUAAAGCAUAAUUCUUUAAAGAGAGUUCCAGGUGAGAAAAAGAUGUUGGUCCCUGUUCCACAUACCAACUUCUGUUAUAUGCUGGUUAAAAAAAUGUUUUCUAAAAAAUGAAUGUAGUAUCUUUUUGACUAAAAAUUUGGUUUUGUCACCCAACUUUUAAAGAGUUACUCGUAUUUACUGUGCUAAUGCUUGUUUAAGAAGAUUUAAUUUAACUCUUUUAAAUAAAAAAAUAUAUAUAUUGAAUAGUUUAAAGAUGAUUUCAGGUCAGAUUAAAAUCUAAACCAGACUGGGGGCUCCUGGGUGGCUCAGUCAGUUAAGCGUCCGACUUCGGCUCAGGUCGUGAUCUCACGGUUCGUGGGCUGGAGCCCCUCGUCGGCCUCUGUGCUGACAGCUCAGAGCCUGGAGCCUGCUUUGGAUUCUGUCUCUUUCUCUCUCUGCCCCUUCCCACUUGUACUCUGUCUCUCUGUCCUUCAAAAAUAAAUUAAUGUAAAAAAAAAAAAAAUCUAAACCAGACUAUCUUCUCUGUAAUUUGUCCUCUGGCUCCAAAAUCCUGAAUCAUUACUCAGAAACACACUUCCCGUACUCUUAUAUUCACUGGCUAAUUUAACCAGGAAUUAACUCUUAGCAUGAUCUUUUUUUCUUUUUAUUUAUUUUUUAAUGUUUUUUAUUUCUUUUUGAGACAGAGAGAGAGCACAUGAGCAGGGGAGGUGCAGAGAGAGAGGGAGACACAAAAUCCAAAGCAGGCUCCAGGCUCUGGGCUGUCAGCACAGAGCCCGAUGCAGGGCUUGAACCCACCGACCGUGAGAUCAGGACCCAAGCCAAAGUUGGAUGCUCAACCGACUGAGCCACCCAGGCGCCCCAGCAUGAGCUUGAUAAAACCUUUCUGAUAGAUCAUGUUUUUUUUUUCUUUUCUUUCUUUCUUUUUUUUUUUUU